rnacentral:rRNA from 1 species
GAUGAACGCUGGCGGCGUGCUUAAUACAUGCAAGUCGAGCGAACAGACGAGGAGCUUGCUCCUCUGACGUUAGCGGCGUAAGGAAGAGUAACCCGAGGAUAACAUACCUAUAAGACUGGGAUGACUUCAGGAAACCGGAUGUAAUUCCGGCUAAUAUAUUGAACGAAAUGGAUCAAUACUGAAAGACGGUUUUGCUGUCACUUAUCGAUGUAGACGAGCCGCAUUAGCUAGUUGGUAAGGUAACGGCGUACCAAGGCAACGAUGCGUAGCCGACCGGAGAGGGUGAUCGGCCACCCUGGGACUGAGACACGGUCCAGACUCCUACGGGAGGCAGCAGUAGGGAAUCUUCCGCAAUGGGCGAAAGCUUGACGGAGCAACGCCGCGUGAGUGAUGAAGGUCUUCGGAUCGUAAAACUCUGUUUUUAGGGAAGAACAAAUGUGUAAGUAACUAUGCACGUCUUGACGGUACCUAAUCAGAAAGCCACGGCUAACUACGUG